rnacentral:rRNA from 1 species
AAACGUAGGUGGCAAGCGUUAUCCGGAUUCACUGGGCGUAAAGCGCACGCAGGCGGCCUGGAAAGUAGGGCAUGAAAUCUCCCGGCUUAACUGGGAGGGGUUGUCCUAUACUACUGGGCUGGAGGAUGGGAGAGGGAAGCGGAACUGCCGGUGUAGUGGUGAAAUGCGUAGAGAUCGGCAAGAACACCAGUGGCGAAGGCGGCUUUCUGGCCCAUUCCUGACGCUCAGGUGCGAAAGCUAGGGGAGUGAACGGGAUUAGAAACCCCGGUAAUCCUAGCCGUAAACGAUGUACACUAGGUGUCGGGGGUAUUGACCCCCUCGGUGCCGAAGCCAACGCGUUAAGUGUACCGCCUGGGGACUACGGCCGCAAGGUUAAA